CUGCCCUCAAGCACGGCUUGUGUGUUGGGUGCGGUCCCCCCGGGGGCCUGCCCGAAAGGCAGCGGCGACGUCCGUCUGGUCCUCGAGCGUAUGGGGCUUUGUCACUCGCUCGGGAAGGACUGGCGGGGGUUGGUCACCACCACAAAAUUUUACCAC
rnacentral:misc_RNA from 2 species